AUGGCGGGGAGGUACGACCGCAACCCCUUCGACGAGGAUGACGUCAACCCCUUCGCGGGAGGAGGUGUACCCCCUGCUUCUAAUUCUCGGAUGCCACCCCUUCCUCACGAACCUGCUGGAUUCUAUAAUGAUCGCGCUACCGUGGACAUACCUCUUGGUUCAUCGAAGGACUUAAAGCAAAAGGAGAAAGAACUGCAGUCGAAGGAGGCUGAGCUUAACAAACGGGAAAGAGAACUUAAAAGAAGGGAAGAAGCUGCAGCUAGAGCUGGUAUUGUCAUUGAAACGAAAAACUGGCCACCAUUUAUGCCCAUCAUUCAUCAUGACAUUUCAAAUGAGAUACCAAUCCACCUACAAAGGAUGCAGUACCUUGCAUUUUGUUCAUUGUUGGGAUUGACGUUAUGCCUCUUUUGGAACAUCAUUGCAACUACCGCAGCAUGGAUUAAAGGGGCAGGUGUUGUCAUCUGGUUGCUAGCAAUUAUCUACUUCAUCUCUGGUGUCCCUGGGGCCUAUGUGCUAUGGUAUCGGCCGCUUUAUAAUGCAAUGAGGACUGAAAGCGCUCUGAAGUUUGGAUGGUUUUUUCUGCUGUACUUGAUCCAUAUAAUAUUCUGCAUCUGGUCAGCUGUGUCUCCCCCAUUUCCUUUCAAAGGAAAAUCUAUCGCUGGGUUUUUGCCGGCAAUUGACGUCAUAGGCAGCAACGCUAUUGUGGGGAUAUUUUACUUUGUUGGAUUCGGACUGUUCUGCCUUGAAGCACUGCUCAGCAUUGUGGUCAUCCAGCAAGUAUACAUGUACUUCCGUGGAAGUGGAAAGGCUGCUCAGAUGAGGCAAGAGGCAGCACGUGGUGCUAUGAGAUCUGCCUUCUGA
rnacentral:rRNA from 1 species